AGUGAACGCUGGCGGUAGGCCUAACACAUGCAAGUCGAACGGCAGCACAGUAAGAGCUUGCUCUUACGGGUGGCGAGUGGCGGACGGGUGAGGAAUACAUCGGAAUCUACUUUUUCGUGGGGGAUAACGUAGGGAAACUUACGCUAAUACCGCAUACGACCUACGGGUGAAAUCAGAGGAUCUUCGGACCUUGCGCGAUUGAAUGAGCCGAUGUCGGAUUAGCUAGUUGGCGGGGUAAAGGCCCACCAAGGCGACGAUCCGUAGCUGGUCUGAGAGGAUGAUCAGCCACACUGGAACUGAGACACGGUCCAGACUCCUACGGGAGGCAGCAGUGGGGAAUAUUGGACAAUGGGCGCAAGCCUGAUCCAGCCAUACCGCGUGGGUGAAGAAGGCCUUCGGGUUGUAAAGCCCUUUUGUUGGGAAAGAAAAGCAGCAGGUUAAUACCCCGCUGUUCUGACGGUACCCAAAGAAUAAGCACCGGCUAACUUCGUG
rnacentral:rRNA from 1 species